rnacentral:rRNA from 1 species
ACUGGUGCUGAUGGCGAUGAGGCCACACCUGUUCCCAUACCGAACACAGAAGUUAAGCUCAUCAGUGUCGAAAAUACUUGGCUGGCGACGGCCUGGGAAGAUAGAGCGGUGCCGGUA